GUAGACAUGGAUUUAGGGGGAAUCUAUUUAACACACGUGUGUGCUGCGGGAGCAGGUCUCUGGGACAUACUCCAAGUGUAAAAUCCCUUUGUGGGCUCCAUGAUUUCUUUUCGGAAUGCUUCAGAGCACUCUGGCCUCAUACCUCACCUACAGCGAGGCACUGUGAUGACAAGGGACAAAUGUCUUUCCUGCAGGUGAGAUUGUACUAAACCUCAAAUGCAAAUACUGUAAGAUAAUUGAGAACACAUCUCUUUGUCUUUACAGCAUGCAAAUCCAUGGAUGUCUUCUGCAAUUGACUGUUCAGUUCUGUUGCUCAGUCGAGUCCAUCUCUGCGUGACCCUAUGACUGCAACACCCCAGGCCUCCCUGUCCAUCACUAACUGCCAGAGCUUGCUGAAACUCAUGUCCAUCAAAACUUCUCAAGGGCUCCUCAAUGACUGACAACAAGCACAGCCUGAGGGUUCAUGGAAGCUUUCCAGGUUGAGAGGAUGACUGAGCUGCAUCUUGGGGGCUGGGAAGGAUCCAGGUCCAGAAAGGUGGAAAGAGCUUCAUAGAAAUGGAAACAGCACAAGUCAAGUCACCAAAUGGAAUGGAAGUCUGGAGCUUGACGGUCCUAGGUUACCACUCCUGCUCCAAGAAGUCAUCAAGAAAAACAGGCUUUUGUAGCUUCCUGCUUCACCAAAUUGAUUUAUAACAUUCAUCCCCCUGGUGUCAAGAUGAUUCCUUCUCCAGUCAUCAAUCUGUGUGUCAGACAAAAACAGGGAAGAGAAAAAGGUGAUGUGUACCACUUGAAGCCAUCUCUUUUUAAUCAAGAAAAUCACAGAUUCCCUAGAAACGCCACUCCAUAGACUUCUGCUUACAUCUUUUGGACCAGAACAUGCCAGAACCUGGUUGUGGCUGGAUGUCAAUCAUCCUCUCUGCAGAGUAGAGAUUGAGUUGACAAUGGACAAGGCAGAAGCAGCGGGCUCAAAAUGGAGGUGGAGCAGGGGGCAGGUGGAGGACGUGGAGAGGCGCUGCUGCAGCCCAUCAGGCGAAAGCUGACAGUGAUCUACAUGGGGUCAUGGCUGUGGUUGAAUUCAGGAAAUAGCAGAUAAGACUUGAUUGUACAAGAUCGGAAUGAGGGGGUGGGCAGAAUGGCAGAUGAUACAAGGUAAAGGAAAGGAGGAAAAGGAAAUAUCAAGGAUGUCAAUAAGGUUUUUGGCUUCAAUCCCUGAGAGGAUGAUGUCAUUUAUAAACAAGUUUGCAACCACAGAGAGGGGAAUAUUUCGUCUGAGACAAACUGCAUUGUCCAGAAAUGCAAAAUCUUAGCAUCUUGGGUGGGAGUUCAAACUCCUGGGGUUUAUGUGAUUGUCAAGGAACACAAGCUAAGAAAAGCAGUGGAGGAAGACUUCCCUGGUGGCUCAGUGGAUGAGAAUCUGCCUGCCAAUGCAGGGGACAUAGGUUCGAUCCCUGGCCUGGGAAGAUUCCACAUGCCGCUGGGCAACCAGGCCCGAGUGCCUAGAGCCUGCGCUCCACAACCAAGAGAAGCCACCACCGGUGAGAGUCUGAAAACUGGAGCAAAGAGUAGCCUCCACUCAUUGCAGUGAAAGCCCAUGUGUAGCGACGAAGACCCAGUGCAGC